rnacentral:lncRNA from 1 species
UUUAAUCUGUUUUUAUGGAGUCGUCCCUGGCCAUGUCGACGCUUGAGUUUCCUGGGGAGCGCGGGGGUGCUGCCAUUGGGGUGGUCAUGGGCAAUGGACGUUACAGCGGUGGGGGCUUAACAUGUCCGCAUAGAAGGAGGAGGGACAGAUGGCUGACACCUGUCCCUCCUUCUGGUUCUGCCCCCAGCCAAAGGGUUCCAGGUAGUCUUGUCAACCGCCCCUCGGGCCUGACGGUGCUGCUGCUCAAUGCCAGGUCAGUCCACAAUAAAUCUUCCCUCAUCCAUGACUUGAUUGUGGAUGAGGGAACCAAGCUGGCUUGCAUAACAGAGACCUGGGCGGGAGAGGGGGGAUGUCUCCCUCUCUCAAAUGUGGCCGCCCAGGUAUCUGGUUCAGCACCAUCCACACCUGGAGGGGAGGGGAGGGGGGUCGCUUUGGCUUACCGAGCCUCCAUCUUCCUCACAGGACUUCCGGUCCCUUCGAGGCCAGGGCUGGAGUGCCUCUACUUGGUGUUGGGUGACCAAGACAGAUUGGGGAUUCUGUUGGUGUACCGUGCACCCUUCUGCCCAACAGUCUCCCUGCCCGAGCUGACGGAGAUCGUCUCGGACCUGGUGUUGAGGACUCCCAGGAUGUUGGUCUUGGGGGACUUCAAUCUCCAUGCCGAGACUGGUCUGACCGGGGCGGCUCAGGACUUCAUGGCCUCCAUGAUGGCCAUGGGGCUGUCUCAACAUGUCACUGGCCCAACCCAUGAACGUGGACACACUCUGGACCUGGUUUUCUCGACAGGGCAGGAAAAGGGUGGUCUGAGGAUGAGGAAUUUAUGUCUGACACCCGUCAUGGUCAGAUCACUUCCUGGUGAGGUUUGUGCUUGAGAGCGGCCUCUCCCUCUGUAAGGGUGCGGACUCGAUUGUGUGGGUCCACCACCAGAGCCGGAUAGAUCCGGAUGGAUUCCUGAAGGCCCUGGGGGAGUUUCCGGCUGAUAAGACUGGUGCUCCUGUCGAGGCUCUGGUCAAACUGCAGAACAGGGAGAUGACCAGGGCUGUUGACAUGAUCGCUCCUAAGCAUCCUCUCCCACUGGGCAGAGCCCACUCUUCCCCUUGGUAUACACCUGAAUUGCGGGCAAUGAAGCAGGCUGGGAGAUGGCUAGAGCAUAGGUGGAGGAGAUCACGGGAUGAAUCUGACCGAACACACUUAAGAGCCCAUUAUCGGGCCUAUGCUGUGGCGGUGAGGGCGGCG